AGAAACCUCACGAUCGAGGCUGCCCUCAUCUAUUCGCUACAACGACGGGAGCCAUGCCGCCGCCGCCACCGCCACCGCGAUCCCUGAAACGCCGCCGAUCUAUUCGCGACAUCGAUGGAAACCAGGCGCUAGCCACGGAUCCCUUUGCCGGCGCCGAGCAGUCAUCGGGGAGCCGGCGCCGAGGUCCUCAAGGAGGCGCCGCCGCCAUCGUUGCAGGCCUCCGGGUUGCCAUCGGGACACCGCUGCCGAGAUCCGCCUUCGCCUUCGUCCGGCAGAGGCGGCGGAAGGCAGCCGGGAGGGGAAGUGCACAACGACCUGGAAGACAUCCGCCCUCACGCGCUCAUCGUCUUGCUCGAUCUACCCGAGGGCUGCCGAUGGGCGCCUCGGCGGCGGCCACGGCGAGAUCUGCGUCUGGGACAUGACAAUCCCUCCACCCCGGUCGCCGGUGAGAUUUCACUGCCUCGAUCCUCCCGGUCCCAGUUUAUCAGGUCAUCCCUGACAAGAGGGAGCGAGAGAUGCUACUGCCGGGCACGUGCACGCACGUGGGGCGGCCGCCUGCGAGCAGGGCCGCGUCCUCUCUCCUUCGUCGACUAUGGCCUCCGAACCACUCCAUUGUACCUCUGCGCCCAAGUGUCCGCUCCUCGAUCUUCAACAGAUUUGUUAUCGCCUCUCUUCCGUUGCAGUUCUGAAAACCAGUGAACAAGGAGAAAUUUGGAGAUGCAGUUCUAAAAACCAGUGAACAAGAAGCACAUGGGAGCCGCUCAAUGCUCUACUAUUGAAAGUUGAGUAGGUGAUUAUGAGAUGAAGACGCUGGAAGAAGUUGGUGUGGUUGUUUGUCAGUAAAACUUAUCUGUAGUCAAGUCAUAUCCAGCCCGUUGACCAUCAUCCGAAUGCUUCUGAUAAUAAUCAAGUGUUUUCUAUUGAAUAUGUUACAAUCCAUUCUGAAGCAAACUGGGUUACUAGCAGUUUAAGAAGAUGUUAUACACCUGACUGACAAAGAUCUUUUUUAUAUCCACAAUGCAUUUCAUGACGAUCCAAGUAUAUUGCUGAUCAAAUAGAAAAUAUGUAAUUUUCUGUUUCGGUAAUAAACAGGCAAUUCAACGUAUAGCUGGGGCAGCCUGAUUUCCUCUUACACAUGCCCGCUAGCAGCAGCAGUUACGACCAGGCGGUUGCGGCCUGACUUGGUGGCUCUUCCUUUUUGUUUUGUGUUUGAAUCAGAUUUGGUGGUCUCGAUUUUACAGGCAUGUGUUGAUCUUGGUCUUGUUCUGUAUGCAAGUAGGGUACACUUGAUGUUUCAUGUUUGGUGAAAGAAAAGGAGCUUCCUAUGUUGAUUUCGGGCAAGACAUACAUUCUGCCAUGCAUUAGUAGAUCAAUUGCUUCUUUGUGUAGGGGAACGAUUAGUGAUUGAAUCUCUCUGUCUCGUUUCUUGAUUAUCCAAUUAAUUUACCCUCAUUUAUGCAUAAAUUGGUCCGAUUGAGUUAUGCCAUUUUUUUUAAUAAUCUAUAUUGGUUCUAUAUAUGACUAGAACAAUAUGAUACGAUGCACAUCGGUCCGCUUUACUGGCAGCUAUCCUUCAAGAUUGAGGGGAGGCACUCUUGUGGACCAGCUCAAUGUUCGAGGAGAUACGGCUGACUAAACAAGGUUAUUUUAAAGUUCUGUGUGGUUCAUGUUAGCUAUCUAUCGGUAAUAGUACAACCUUGAUUUUUAUGUCGUUCAGGUUUACCUAACCAUCAGUAACAUUACUUUCUAUUGGAGACUUCUUACAGGAGGUGCUUAUAAAAUGAUAGUUGAACAUGUACAGAUUUUGGAUCACGAUCAUCUAUUUACCAGGCAUCAGUUAACUCAAGGCAUCGAUCAAAAUCUAGCGUUAUUUGUUGUGUGCAUCAUGGAGAAGACAAAGAACAGAGAUUGUGUGAUAUAUCCGAUAGCGCAAUAUAAUUUUCUCUUGCAUAUUUAUAAUCUGCCAUUUGAAUGAUGUUUUCUGUGUUGUAGUCAAAUCAAGACAAUUUGCAACUUUGGUGUUGUGACGUUGGAGGUCGUGCUCAACAGCAAUGGGAGACUGUUCGUUGAUGCCCGACCCAUGAUGCCGGCGAAGGAAUGAGAGUCGACGAGGAGUGGACGCCAUGGGUUCGUGAACUGGCGAAGCCUCCGUUGUCCGUUUGGUAAUAUCCGACGCAUCAGAGGCAUAGUAUGACUUGUCUCGAUUAUGAUGUCGUCUACAAACAUCCAACGGAGGGGAACCCGUCCCAGUUUCCAUCUUGAUGACUACAAAUAGAGGGAAGUUGGUCUGUGCCUUACUAGAGACAGAUGAACCAAUAAAAUGAUUGGAAAGGUUCUUCCCAAGGAAAAGGACGCCGCCGUCGCUUCGGAUCCCCACACGCCGCCAGCAUGGGCCGUGACAACUGAUGAGCACGCUCCACCCCCAUUCCUGCCACAGAUGAAGAAAAGUAGGCUCAAUCAGGCCAUGACCAGAGUUGAAGAAGGCUCAGGCAGAUGGUGAUACUCUCAAACCAGGUGACCCCAACCCGGUAACCAAGACAUGGAAAAGUGGAGUGCGACCGUAAAAAAUGCUCAUCAAAUUGCUGGCUCCAUGUUGCCUAUCCACUGUCAUCAUACUUGUUUGCAUCAAAACGUCUCCGUUGAUGUUGAAUAUGAAACAGUUGCCACUGUCCCACCAGCAGCACCAAAGACGAGCCCAGCAGCAACAUGAUGGAGACCAGCAGUACUUCUUGAUCCGGUAUCUGAAUCAUUGGUCGUCAGUGUUUCCGCGGAAAGCGUGUAGAGGGAGAUGGUUCUGCCGAUAACCGGCACACUAAGGUAGGUGUAGGUCUGGACGCUGGUGCUGUUGGAGGCGCGCCGGUCGAGCUCAGCCAUCACUCAGCCGGGCAGUACUUUGAGCUGUCACAGAAAUAUCAUGAUCAUCUUUUAGCGAAUACAAAGGCUAGGCGGGGCGGUCGAUUUGCAGCGGGGUGGCGUGAGGAAUAUCUCGUUUGGAAGAGCAGGUGGAGUACAAGGUCGCGUCAAGGUCCAAUGACCAGAAUAUCGGCUCCACAGAGGACGCCAUCACAGGUGCGGUCCAAUGACCGGAAUAUCGGCUCCACAGAGGACGCCAUCACAGAUCUUGCUUGCCUUAUCGUGACAUCUUCUUUGCCAUGGUAAGCACAUCAUGGUUCGUUCGCCCUCAUGACUUUUUAUUAUGACAUUAAUGGAGUUCAGAAAGCAGUUUUAGUGAAGAUCGAAUGGUUUUUAGAUUAAGUAGAUAAUACAAGAGUACUCUUCUGUAGUGUAUUGUUGUUCAACUGAGACAUAUGCAGUGGGUUUGAUCUAUGUUUUAAAGGCGUCCCUAAGGCGACGCCUAGGCGACGCCUAGGCGUCGAAGCGCUCCCCCUCCGCUUUGGAAAAUCGACCGCUUUGGGCGCCUAGGCGUCCAAAGCGCCCGCCUAGGCGUCGCCUAGGCGCCAAAGCGCCCCCCCUCCCUAAGGCGGUAAGGCGUCGCCUUAAAAACAUAGGGUUUGAUGGCCGCAGGAUAAUUAAAGCCAAGGUAAAGUCUAUACAUUCACAAUUCCUAUUGUUAUAAAUAGGAAAAAAAAGAUAUAGGCGAAUACUACUGUUUUAGAUGCCGGUAAAAUGGACUAGAAUUUCAUGAGCUGUUUAGUCAGCAUGCUACCGCUCAUCAAAGGCGGAGGACCAAAUUUUUUCGAGGUAGGUCAGCCGAGACUACAGCACAUGAGACUUCCUCACUGCUAGCCUCUAGCGCCAGGGCGUGCGUCUUCACCGUCCACCUUGGCCUCCGGCACAAACGCUCCUGCUGCUUGCUGCUAGGCGCUAGCCCGCUGGGGUUCGCGCGUGGCAUGCGCCAGGGCUGGUGGUUUGUGUUCUGCUGUUCCUGUUCAUACCUUUGUGAUGACUGGUUCGGUACGUCGUGUGUGUGACGUAUGUGCAGCCAUCAGGCAAGGGCAUGACCCAAAUAAGGAUCCUUCUAAGAAGUCACGACCCAACAUCAAAGAGAACUCUUCCUUUCAUUGACUUAUUGCACCUGUCAUCCGUCGAUCGAGCGUAUUUGCCGGAAAUAAAGGUUGGGCGGACACCCUGUAUCUUCAGUAUUUCUCCCACUUUUUCUUCUACAUGUGUAAAUGUAGUUACACUUGAGAAAGCGAGAAAUAUUUGUUUUGUCAAAAAAAUGACAUAUCUUUGUUAUCUGGAUGCCCGUGCGCUGACAGGUGCGUGUGUGUUUAGCAAUGGGAGCUAUAUCCCAAGUGCAUGUGUUUAGAUAGUGAAUUUAAGUACUACUUAUUUUGGCAAAGUGUCCUUUCCAGUAUGGUUUUGAAUUCAGAAUUGUUACAUAAGGAGCACCGGCGAUUUCAUUAAUCUACAAAAAUAUAGAUUGUUCCUUCGAACUACCUGUUUCUACUCUAUUAGAUGUUCGUAAGCAAUAUUAUGCUAUUAAGAUGCCAUUUUUUAAAUUGCCUUUUGGCCUUUGGAUCACGACUAUUUUUGUUUUGUUUCAUUUUAAGUAAAAUUGAGCAGGUUGUGUGUCCUGUUUUGCACACAUUUUUGCUUCGGUAAUGUAAGUCCAUUAACCUUCAAUUCUUCUAUACUUUAUAUGAUUAUGCAAUCUACCACUUACAUGUAAAGAGUGUCAUAUCUUAGUUUGCUGCAAUUUAUGCCCCUACAGAAGAAACGGUUUCAGGGCAAGGCAACAAAAGUUAUUACAGCAUAGAGCUUCUAUCAAGUAAAUUUCCUAGCAAAGAAAUGAGCACUUGCUUCCUGGAACAUGUGUCAGACCCUGAUGGCAUGUUUCUUGACAGCAGCGCCAUGGAAGUCUUGCUGGGGCUUGGCAGCCUUGCAUGUUUAUACCUUAAACAUGUUCCAAGACUGCUCAACGACAAGUUGAAUUUUGACCCUCCCUGAAUGGUCUCUACAAGGCUACAUGGGCCAUGGGCUGAAGUAUAUCAUGAGAUUUACCCAAUCCACCUUACAUUCAACUAUGCACAAUAGCGAUGCCAUGUUUUUAAAUAAUCUAUAUAUAUGCUUCUACAUUGAAAUCCAAUUUCAUCAUAAUUUUGCUAUUUGAUAAUAGUAUAACACUGGUAGACGUAUGGGUUGUCCCUCUAAAAUUUAAGCUUCGUCUCCAUGCUUGCUUUUGUCUAUUGGUACCCUGAUUUUCUUAGAAAGGUGGUCUUGUGAUUACUGAGUUAACAGCUGCUGUCGAAAUAUUCAGAAAAUUCAGUUUUAUUUGAGUCGUAGCUGUAGUUGUUUGAACUCAGUUUCGUCAGCUUGUUUUCUUCAGUUAAACUUUAGCAGAAACAUACCAAGCUGUGACGAUGUCCUAGAUUGUUAGGAUAGAUCCUCGCAAUGAUUGGAUCGUGGGAUGGCACGGCACAACAGUCACGGCGAUGAUGCAGAGAGGUGUGCAAGGAGUUCUAGGAUGGCGGCACUCACAACUCGGAUAUGUCAUGCUUUUCCCUUUUUCAGUUAGCAUUGUAAUCACUCAAUAAAUAGAGGAGGGAGAAGAAAAGCUGUAGACUGAACACAGCACAAAACAUCGUCUCUCUCUCUCUCUCUCUCUGUUAGCUCUCCAAUUUAUGAAAUAUUCAGUUUUCAGUGGUUGCCCUUUUUAUAUAUUUUAUUUUAACUAAAUUCACAUCUCCAUGGUUCAGCCCGUCUUUCCGGCUUGAGGCUUAUCAAACACUUUUGGGUUCAAGAUUCAGGACAAACAAGGCAAGAUGCACAAAUUUAACUGUGGUAUGCACACUCAUUUUGGUGUCACACAACUGGAGUUAUAUCAUCGCUCUUUCUUUUCCCAUGUCAUGCCCAGUAAUUUAUACUAUUGUUCAAGCUCCAUUGAUAAAUCGAACCUACCUCAAAUUCUGGUACUGUUCAAGCUCCAUUCUCUAUAUAUGUGCCUAUAUACCUAUAUCACUGUCAGUUCUCUAAGGUUUCUUCUUUUCCUAAUACCAUUUGACAGUACGAAGAUGAUGAUCACAAUAAAGUCAUGCUCUCAUCGGAUUCCGACCAUAUAGCGACUGGGUACCAUGCAAAGCAAAUCGCUUGGAAGGUAAUAAGAGGCAAAUUCAACCUUCACUCUACAAAAUCUGCAACACAUCAUAUUAAUUGGAAACUCAAAUCUUGAUUGCAAAAGUUAAGUCUGUGCUAUAAAUGCAGGCAAUACAAAAGGUAGGAAGGACUUAGGAAGGUUCUUUUUUUGUCCUCAUAAUGGGACAAUUUAACUAAGUUGCUCUCUGCUGGUUGUUUGAAGACAAAUUAUAAUGUGUAACCUACCAAAUACUCCCUCUGUUCCUAAAUAUAAGGUGUAUUAGUUUUUCAAAAUGUCAACUGUUGUCUAUGUUUGACCAACUUUACAGCAAAAUAUAUAAAGAUUUAUAAUACUAAAUAUAUAAAAUGUAAAAAUAUAGUUCAUGCUGAAUCUAGUGAUAAUGAUUUGGUAUUCUAGAUAUUGGUAUUUUUGUCUAUAAACUUGGUCAAACUUAGAGAAGUUUGACUUUAAAAAAAAAUAAUACACCUUAUAUUGAGAAACGGAGGGAGUACUAAAUUAAACUUUAUCCUCGGUUCCAUGUUAUUCCAUGUAGUAGUGUAUGCGGGAAUUAUAUUGAUGAUUUCAUUUUACCUUCAUAUCUGCUUAAUUUUCUUACCAAACACAAAAGCUCUAUGUCUUGAUGUGUUCAUAGAAGCGAAGAUAUAACUCAUGAUGCAAGCCUAAUACGCUGAUAAUAUUUUUACGGUUCAAUGUUCCUAUGAGGGGAGUGGGUGGGGACGACAAUGAGUGUCUUAACAUAUCAAGCAGUUGCCGCCUAUGAGGGGAGUGAGUGGAGAUGGCCAGAUCUGUGCGGCGGAGGGGCGAUGGAAGCUCGAAUGGAAGAUUUCUCGCCAGCAUCGGAGCAAUUUAUUGUCUAGAUCGACCAUAAAGCUCCUACAUAGACAUGAAGGAUUGUCAUUAUUAAGAAGUUCAAUCUUUGGAAAUUCAGCAUGUGACACUGUAAAAAUAGAAAGAAGCUAGAAAAUUGUCUCUGGCCGAUUUCGUAUGUAGCUGUGAGCAUUGCUAAUUUCUGUCAACAUGAACGAGAUCUGGACUAUUUAUAUAGCUAUCAUGUGCUCAACAAAUUGUCUGAUAAUGUUACACUCCUGAAUAGAUUGAUGUAUGAUAAGCACAUGUGUCAA